AACGAACGCUGGCGGCAUGCCUAACACAUGCAAGUCGAACGAGACCUUCGGGUCUAUUGGCGCACGGGUGCGUAACGCGUGGGAACCUGCCCUUAGGUUCGGAAUAACUCCCCGAAAGGGGUGCUAAUACCGGAUCAUGUCUUCGGACCAAAGAUUUAUCGCCUUUGGAUGGUCCCGCGUUGGAUUAGCUAGUUGGUAGGGUAAAAGCCUACCAAGGCGACGAUCCAUAGCUGGUCUGAGAGGAUGAUCAGCCACACUGGGACUGAGACACGGCCCAGACUCCUACGGGAGGCAGCAGUGGGGAAUAGUGGACAAUGGGCGAAAGCCUGAUCCAGCAAUGCCGCGUGAGUGAUGAAGGCAGUAGGGUUGUAAAGCUCUUGUACCCGGGAUGAUAAUGACAGUACCGGGAGAAUAAGCUCCGGCUAACUCCGUG
rnacentral:rRNA from 1 species